GAUGAACGCUGGCGGCGUGCCUAAUACAUGCAAGUCGAGCGAACGGACGAGAAGCUUGCUUCUCUGAUGUUAGCGGCGGACGGGUGAGUAACACGUGGAUAACCUACCUAUAAGACUGGGAUAACUUCGGGAAACCGGAGCUAAUACCGGAUGAUAUUUUGAACCGCAUGGUUCAAAAGUGAAAGACGGUCUUGCUGUCACUUAUAGAUGGAUCCGCGCUGCAUUAGCUAGUUGGUAAGGUAACGGCUUACCAAGGCAACGAUGCAUAGCCGACCUGAGAGGGUGAUCGGCCACACGGGAACUGAGCCACGGUCCAGACUCCUACGGGAGGCAGCAGUAGGGAAUCUUCCGCAAUGGGCGAAAGCCUGACGGAGCAACGCCGCGUGAGUGAUGAAGGUCUUCGGAUCGUAAAACUCUGUUAUUAGGGAAGAACAUAUGUGUAAGUAACUGUGCACAUCUUGACGGUACCUAAUCAGAAAGCCACGGCUAACUACGUG
rnacentral:rRNA from 1 species